rnacentral:rRNA from 1 species
ACUCAAAGGAAUAGACGGGGGCCCGCACAAGCGGUGGAGUAUGUGGUUUAAUUCGACGCAACGCGAAGAACCUUACCAAGGCUUGACAUGGAAGCGAAACCCAUAGAGAUAUGGUCCUCCUUCGGGACGCUUCACACAGGUGGUGCAUGGUUGUCGUCAGCUCGUGUCGUGAGAUGUUGGGUUAAGUCCCGCAACGAGCGCAACCCUUGCCGUUAGUAGCCAGCAGGUAAAGCUGGGCACUCUAAUGGGACUGCCGUGGAUAACACGGAGGAAGGUGGGGACGACGUCAAAUCAUCAUGCCCCUUAUGUCUUGGGCUACACACGUACUACAAUGGAUGAGAACAAAGUGACGCGAUCAGGCAACUGUAAGCAAAUCACAAAAAAGCAUUCCCAGUUCGGAUCGUGGGCUGCAACCCGCCCGCGUGAAGUUGGAAUCGCUAGUAAUCGCGAAUCAGCAUGUCGCGGUGAAUACGUUCCCGGGCCUUGUACACACCGCCCGU